ensembl:lncRNA
GCUAGUUACAUUUAUCUGUAGCUACGAUUUUUAACGAAGCAGUAAUGAAGAAGUCACCGGUCGGAACAGACGCGGUUCGGUUAAACUCACCGAUCAUUUGUCUCUCCGUCCUUCACGAGUGUUUACAAUGUGCGGCGAGGCCGCGGUGCAUUGUGGGAGAUGUAGUCCCGUCAGCUGAGCUGAACUACAUGGAAAGACGUCACCGGAAGUGAGGCUAAAUCUGAAUUUUAAAUAAAGCUGGUUUUUUUUUCUUUGUGUGAGGAACCGGACUUGAAGCCGGACCUGAACCUGGACUUGAUCCUGGACCGGAGCCAGGCCCCGAACCAGGACUUGAACCCGGAGCUGAACCAGGACCGUCUCCUCGGCGGUGAAGUCCCGUCUGCGCGCUGAUGGGGGACAGUUCAGACUGCAGCGUCCUGCAGCGGAGCCACACCGGGACCGGGGUCGGGGCCGGGACCGGCACCGGGACGGUGGUGAAGCUGGAGUCGGGUCUGCCAUGUCUGCCAGGUCUGCCGGGCCUGACCCCCCCUCAGGAGUCAGAGCUUCACUUCCUACGGUCGCGGGUUCGAGAGCUGGAGAGGGAGAAGUCUGAGCUGGUGGCAGAGAACCACAGACUGAAGAACAUGCUGGUCCACGAAAUCCCUGGGCUCCUGUCCACCAUGUGGCAAACGAUAGGUCAGGCCAACGGCCACCAGUCCGCCUCCAUGGCAGCGGAUAACACUUACCAUCAGUACUCGCAUCAGAACCACAUGACAGCUCAGGACCCGGAAUUCAGCCCCGAGGUCCACAUCAAGCAAGUCCACGAGGAGCUCAGCGAGGACCUGUCCUGGGCCCCGCUGGGCUCCGACGACGAGGAGGUGUCAGGAGGAGCCCACCUGGUCCUGGGGAGCCACAUGGGGGAGGAGGCGCCGCUCUGCAGCCAGACUGACAUGGAGGAGCUGAGGAGGAGCUGCUCAGAGAGCCAGUGCACCGCCGGAGACCAGAACGUCCAGGUGAGCCAGGUGGAGGUGUACCCAGGUUCUGGAGUGCUCUGCGACGGUCGAUCGUGGCAGGCGGCCAAUCAGGCGCAGUCUCCCACGGCGAUGGCCCGCAUGCUGCUGCUGGGCGUGUUUGAUACGACCACACUGAUGAACAGUAAUCUGCGAGGGGGGCGGAGCCGCCGGCCCGCCUUUCAGCAGCAACGCAACGCGCUCGACCCACACAAGACCAACGCCAUCUUCAAUGCUAUUUUGGCUCGGUUUCCUCUCGCCAAGAAAGGCGUCAUCGGCUCCUGUAUCAACUCUAAACUGUCCGAGAUGAGGUUCCGGUCCCGGAGAGCCAAUAGAGAACAACACUUCUUCUGACAGACGGCUUGGCGCUCUGCCUACCUCAUAGAUGGAAAAAAGACUGUAAGAGAUCAAAACGUCCAGCAGCUGGACCAAUGGGAUCGCAGCAUCCAGAUGCUGGACCAAUGGGAUCGCAGCAUGCAGCAGCUGGACCAAUGAGAAACCUCCAAGCAAACAUGAUUUGAAGUUCAGGUUCUGGUGUCAAAAGUGUUUGUAACAUGUUUUAAUGUUUGUUUUUACAUUUGUGUUGUUGACAUGUUCAAUGUUUGUCAUAAAUUAUCAAUAAAGUUUAAUUCAAACCUCAGAUGACUCGAGUGUGUUUUGCUGCUGGAGAGAGUGAGCUGAAGUGUUUGUGCAUUGCUCAGCCCCAGGAGCUGAAGAUGACGACGAGUGGAUAAGAAACACACAAACUAUUUUUCAAGGAUUUAUUACAAAACAGAACAUGUCAGUGGAUUUUUUUUUUUCUAGAACACAAUACAAUGACCGACAACCUUCUACCUGCAGGCGGCCCCGCCCACUCUGUGACACAGCCAACAACACACACCUGAACGACCGAACUGGGGGAGGGGGAGGGGGUUAAAUAAAUAAUCCACCAUUAAAUUAAGUCUACUUCACACCAAAAGAACCAGAAGAGCAGUGUGGGAGUAAGUCUACAGGGGGGGCGGGGCAGUUCUUCAGGUGGGUGGAGGUGGGGUGGGGGACCUCACUUACAUGCCUCCACAAUUAAAAUUAGAGACAAAAAUGUCAAAUCAAAAUACAUCCUUUGAUGUUUUAUCUUGAAACUGCUUUCAAUCGUUUUCUUUUGAGAUUUUUUUUUCUUUUCAAAAGUGAUGAUGGAGGAUGCUGUCGUCAUGGUAACGACGCCAGCUGGACUCCCCCUCCUCUAAGCUGAAACGACCAAUUACAACAAAGUGCCAAUAAAACAACCACAGCCAAUCAAAGUCAGACAGGGAGGAAGUGGGCGGGGCCUGAAGGAGAGGUCACACCGCUGCAGCCAGUCAGAGGAGAGCUUCCACAUGCCGACCACGAUGACGGGAACCGAUUGGUGCCUGAUUGGUCCUACUUACUAUCAUGUUUUAUAAAUAAAUUCGAACUGUCCAAUCAGAAUGAGUGGCUGCUGUCCAAUUGCAUCCAUUCCUCCAUCAGAACUCCAUCUCCCAUGAUGCUUUGUGGGCCCAGUUGGCUGAUGGGAAAUGGAGUGUGAAAAGGGCAGAGUGAAGGUGAACAUACAGUGGGGGGGCGGGGUCAGGGGUCAGGGUCAGGUGUUAACACUUUAGAUUCAAUCCUGUAAGUGCGAUGACCGAACGGUCACUCAUGACCAUAUAUGGACACGACCGCACAGGGAGAGUUCCACCAUACGACCAUAUAAGGAAGUCCCGCUGCUAUCUACACCAGACAGGAGUCAACCACUUCCUGUUGUCUAAACCGACGCUGGCUGCUCAGAACUCGUCCAGACUGAUCCAGAACACAUCAGAACUUUCCAGAACUGGUCCCAACAGGUCCAGAAGCAGUCUAUGCUGAUUCAGGACCAAGAACCUGGCCCGGAGAGGGCGGGGAGCCGAGCGCCGUCACUCCGAGUCGGACUCCAGCGGCGCGGUCUCGUCCAGCAGGGACCUCUUGCUGCACGUGGCGGCGGCCAUGUGGGCACGCUGCUCCUCCUCCAGGUGGGCCUUCUUGUGGCGGGAGAAGCUGGACGAGUGCAUGAAGGUUUUGUUGCAAGCGGCGCACGUGUACGUCUUGUUCUUGGUGGCGGGGACGCCGGCCUUGGCGUGCUGCGGCAGCUUGCCCCGCACGCCGCCGCCGUCUGCUCGGUGGGUCUGCUGGUGUCGCGCCAGGCUGGAGGAGUGGCUGAACCGCUUUCCGCACUGGCCGCAGCCGUGGCCUCCCACAUCCAGCCCCGUCGCAGCCCCGACUCCUCCGCUCUCAUCAUCCUCCUCCUCGGAGGUGGCGGAGCCCCGUUUGGCGGCGCGGCCGCCUCGGCGGCGGCGGUUCUUCUUGCACAGAGUGUAGAAGUUGGGCUUGUCGCGGGAGCAGAGCUUGAGGCGGAUCUUCAGGUCGGACGACGUCUCGCCGAGGUUCUCCUUGCCGGGCGUGUAGCUGUCCAGCAGCUCCUUCACGUGGGUCACCUGGUGCUUGGACAGCUGCGUGGACGUCCUGAAGCUCAUGUCGCACUGGGGACAGGCGUAGAACUUGUCCCCGCCCUGGCUGUGGAUGAUGGCGGCUUGGGCUAUGUGCUGCGGCAGUGGUGACGGCGCCUGCUGCUUCUUGGUCUUCUUGUUCUUGCCGCCGGCCUUCAGGGUGUGGCGCAGGGCGGCCAUGCUGGGAACGAGGGCGGCAUCCUUGGGGAGGCCCUUGCCCUUCUUGUGGAUCAGGCGGUGGCGCGACAGACUGGAGCUGUGGUUGAACUCCUUCCCACAGAUGUUGCAGGGGUGGAUCCGUCGCUUCCCGUGCAGCCGCAGGUGACUCCCCAGCAUCCUGCAGAGGAAACCGACAGGCAAUCAGCACAAGCCGCACACUGCGCCGCCGGGCCAGAAACACUGCUAGCGAGAGAUGAAAAGGUUGUUGGUAAAAUAUUGAUGUGUUCAGUUCAUCCUGCUUUCAAUACGCUUCUAUUGACAGCGGGUUUUCCAGUUAUGCUUUGUGUGUGUGUGUGUGUGUGUGUGUGUGUGUGUGUGUGUGUGUGUGCGCGUGUGCUGCCAGCUGCACUGAAACCCUCCCUACAGGUUAAUGUCCAAUCACUUCGGCCAGGUGACGCUCGCUUCACAUGUCCACAGGGCCGUUUUUCUUACAUGGAAAUGCACCAUGUCUGAAAAUCACGCGCUUGUUGGGCGUGUCACUUGCGGGCCAUGAGGCGGCGUCUACAAAAGGGGUGGAACCUUUUAGUUUCGCUGCUGAACAACGAACAGAAAUUUCACUGUCUGCAAACGUUGAUUGAAACAUGUAUGUAAAAAGGAAAUGUGAGCAGUCAGAGCAUGCAUCAGCUGAGGCAGUGAGCAGACCGAACCGGGCGGUGCAGUUUUUUUCAGACUGGGACUGACCAUGGCGUGAGGUCGGAGGUCAUCUGUGUCCCUAAGUGUGAGUUCGAAUCAGAGCUGAAGACUCUGAACCUGUUUUUAUGUAGUUUGACACACUGAUGUCGAUGUUUGAGUUUCUUGGUUUGGUUGUCUCAGAGGGACGCUCUCCAGCUCUCAGCAGUGGUUUGCAUAUUUUCCGCUCUAACUGAGGUCCCAGUGUUUGAUUCCUCAACCAAACUUUUUCUGACCUGCCAGAAUCACUGAAGGAUCUCACUUGGGCGUGGCCCCUCCCAGACUAACCUGCUACCUUUGAAGCUCAUGCCGCAGUGGGGGCAGGUGUAGCGUGCGUCCUGGGGGGCGGGCUCCAGCGCCCUCUUGGUGGGAGGCACCGUGCCCUUGCCGGUGUGCGUCUGCUGAUGGCGGUACAGGCUGGAGGCGUGGCUGUAGCACUUCCCGCAGUAGCCGCAGCGGUACUGCCGCUCGUCCGGCUCAUAGUCCGCCUGGUCCGAGUAGGCGUCCAGGUGGCUGCUCCCCGCUUCGAUCAGCACCUCCUGCUCCUCCUCGCCGUCCUCUUCCUCCUCGUCAGAGUCCGUCUUUAUCUCCACACUCUGCUCCGUCACCUCGCAGGGGUACACCUCCUCGUACGGGGCGAAGAACGCCUCGUCCGUCUCCAUCUUCAGGUGAUCCGCGGUCAGGUCCGACGCGUCGUCCGAGUCCCUCUUCACACACGAGAUGGUGAACUUGGAACCCACCUCGGCCCAUUUCACCACGUACUCGAUGGGCUGCGUGUCCAGCUCCACCGUGAUGAAGUCUGCGCCCAGAGCGUCCGACUCCGACACCGUCAGCUCCGCCUCCGAGUCCUCCAUCCUGAAGACUUCAGCAGGACGAGGGGACGAAGACAGACAGCACAGAGGGGGGGAGGGGCCUGGAGGGGGGAGAAAAACAAGAAGGGACUUUUCAGUCUGACUGUAGAACAGGUGAGCACAGCAACAUGAGGAGGUUCAGUCUGAAUACGAGACCAGGUUCUCCCCCCCCCCAAAAGGCCUGAAACAGCGAGGUGGUCUGAUGUUCGACGUCCAAACAUGAAGAGACUUCUGCUGUUCUUCAUCUUUGAAAAGCCAAUAAAUAUUACUCGUUCCAAGAAGAAGUAAAAGUCUGCCUAACGUCCAGAUAACAGCAAAAAACGGAUCAACACAGUGAUCACCUGGAGAAACAUGGAUCUAAUGUGAAAUGAAUGAUCUCCACAUGAUAAACUAUGGGUAUUAUCUUAAUCUGAUAGAGAUCAAUGUAGGUGAAAUUCUAACUCUCAAGAUGAUUAAAGAACAGUUAGAAAAGCAAUGGAGGAAGAUGGAAAACACUGAAGGUGUUUCUCCUGCUGUCUCUGCAGAACACCUCUGUACAGCACAGCGUCACUGGAGGUUCUCGAUAUGUUCUCC